CCCGAUCAGUUUCAGAAUACCCCAUUGCUCUUCUUCGUACACGAACGGUGCCUUUCGAAGCUUCCUCUUCUCUGGUUUGCUGAACGACAAAGGAACAAGAAGAAGGCAAAACGUACAGAGAGCAGAGAGACAGAGAUGUACGGAGUCAGAGGCUAUUAGGGAGAGGGACGAAGAGAAGGACGAUGAAACAAGCACGCAUCUGAGCUGGCUCGAACAAGGAAGAAACGAAAAGGCAGAUCGGUAUAAGAGAAGGCUCCUUCGAUUUGAAAGAGAGAGGGGGCGAAGAAAGGGGAAAUGGAGGUAUGAGAAGAAAGGCCUUCGGUUUUGGGAGCGAGCUUGAGUCGUCGUUUGAGCGGGAGAGGAGAGAAGAGAAAAGGAAAAAGGAAGAGGAGGCGAUUUUGGGAGAGUUUUAGUGGAAGAGAGAGAGAGGAGAGCAGAAGGUUUUCAGAGAGGCCGAGAGAAGAGGGAGCAAAGAACGGUGGUUUUCGAUGAAGAAGUAGGAAAGGGUGUUCUUAGUGUUGAAGUUCACGAGGGUUGAAUCCAGAAUCAGGUAGUGAGGAGCGUUGCUCGUGGACAAGUUGAGCAGAGAGAACAGCUAAGACAGUGUUCAGCAAUGGAGGAGUCUGUGCGAGAAGUGCUUUAUGAGACUCGCAAUCAUGCUUCCAUGCCCUACUAUUCUAAUUACCCUCCUCUUCCUCAGGCAAACAAAGGAGGUGCUAAGGGGGGGUUCUUAUCAUUUCUUUCAAUUCGAGGUGUUAGUCAACUUAAGGGGAAAUGGAGGGGGAUAUGCAUAUCCAAGGAAAA